rnacentral:rRNA from 1 species
CGGAGGGUGCAAGCGUUAUCCGGAUUCACUGGGUUUAAAGGGUGCGUAGGUGGUUUUGUAAGUCAGUGGUGAAAGCCCGGAGCUUAACUCCGGAACUGCCAUUGAUACUGCUUAACUUGAAUCAAGUAGAGGUGGAUGGAAUAAUACAUGUAGCGGUGAAAUGCUUAGAUAUGUAUUAGAACACCGAUUGCGAAGGCAGUUCACUAUGCUUGUAUUGACACUGAGGCACGAAAGCGUGGGGAUCAAACAGGAUUAGAUACCCUGGUAGUCCACGCCCUAAACUAUGUAAACUCAAUAUUAGCGAUAUACUGUUAGUGUCUAAGCGAAAGCGGUAAGUUUACCACCUGGGAAGUACGACCGCAAGGUUG